rnacentral:rRNA from 1 species
CAUGAAGCCGGAAUUGCUGUAAUGGCAGGUCAGCAUACUGCCGUGAAUACGUUCCCGGGCCCUUGUACACACCGCCCGUCACACCAUGAGAGUUAGGAAUACCCGAAGCCUGUGAGCCAACGCAAGAGGCAGCAGUCGAAGGUAGAACUAAUGAUUGGGGUGAAGUCGUAACAAGGUAUC